UUUCCGGUGGCAGAGUCUGGACGAGACAUGCAGAAAUGACACCUUGCAAGGGAAAGGAAAAGAAGGAAGAACAGGUCAUCAGCCUCGGACCUCAGGUGGCUGAAGGAGAAAAUGUAUUUGGUGUCUGCCACAUCUAUGCAUCCUUCAAUGACACUUUCGUACAUGUCACUGAUGUUUCUGGCAAGGAUAUCAUCUGCCGUGUGACUGGUGGGAUGAAGGUGAAGGCUGACCGAGAUGAAUCCUCUCCAUAUGCAGCCAUGUUGGCUGCCCAGGAUGUGGCCCAGAGGUGCAAGGAGCUGGGCAUCACUGCUCUUCACAUCAAACUCCGGGCCACAGGAGGAAAUAGGACCAAGACCCCUGGACCAGGGGCCCAGUCAGCUCUAAGAGCCCUUGACCGCUCGGGAAUGAAGAUCGGACGGAUUGAGGAUGUCACUCCCAUCCCCUCCGACAGCACCUCAGAAAGGGGGGUUGCCGUGGUUGCCGUCAGUGAACAGGACUCCUCAAAUUAUUUUCUGUUAAUAAAUUGCCUUUGUGUCCGAAAAAAAAAAAAGAAAAGGGAUCCCAAAGUUGGAAAUAAGGAAAAAAAGGACACCAUGUCACAUUGGGAGGUAUUUAAAAGGCCACCAAGGAUCAUAAGAUUAUCCAAGGAAAAGUACCUUUCGUUUGACACAUUGUUUACUAUUGGCAAAGCCUGGACUCUGUGA